AUUGAACGCUGGCGGCAUGCUUUACAUAUGCAAGUCGAACGGCAGCACGGGGGCAACCCUGGUGGCGAGUGGCGAACGGGUGAGUAAUGCAUCGGAACGUGCCCUGUCGUGGGGGAUAACACAUCGAAAGAUGUGCUAAUACCGCAUACGACCUAAGGGUGAAAGCGGGGGACCGUAAGGCCUCGCGCGAUAGGAGCGGCCGAUGUCUGAUUAGCUAGUUGGUGGGGUAAAGGCCUACCAAGGCGACGAUCAGUAGCUGGUCUGAGAGGACGACCAGCCACACUGGGAAUGAGACACGGCCCAGACUCCUACGGGAGGCAGCAGUGGGGAAUUUUGGACAAUGGGGGCAACCCUGAUCCAGCCAUGCCGCGUGCGGGAAGAAGGCCUUCGGGUUGUAAACCGCUUUUGGCAGGAACGAAACGGUGCGGGCGAAUACCCUGUGCUAAUGACGGUACCUGCAGAAUAAGCACCGGCUAACUACGUGCCAGCCGCCGCGGUAAAAC
rnacentral:rRNA from 1 species